rnacentral:rRNA from 1 species
AUUGGGGAAUCUUCCGCAAUGGGCGAAAGCCUGACGGAGCGACGCCGCGUGCGGGUAGAAGGCCUUCGGGUUGUAAACCGCUGUCGAAGGGGAACAAAUUCACGGGAGGACUCUCCUGUGUUUGAGUGAUCCUUGGAGGAAGUCCGGGCUAAGUUCGUGCCAGCAGCCGCGGUAAGACGAACCGGACAAACGUUAUUCGGAAUUACUGGGCUUAAAGAGUGCGUAGGCGGCCGGGAAGGUGAGGUGUGAAAUCCCACGGCUCAACCGUGGAAUGGCGCUUCAAACCACUUGGCUUGAGGGAGAUAGGGGUGAGCGGAACUGAUGGUGGAGCGGUGAAAUGCGUUGAUAUCAUCAGGGACACCGGUGGCGAAGGCGGCUCACUGGAUCUCUUCUGACGCUGAGGCACGAAAGCUAGGGGAGCGAAUGGGAUUAGAUACCCCAGUAGUCAAU